rnacentral:snoRNA from 1 species
ACGACCGUACUGUAGUACAUUCCCAGUCUUUGUUUCCCAACAAUGACACUAGUACCAAGUUGGUAGAUGAGAUACAGUGCACUGUCCACAAAGGGAAGUGUGAGCAGUGGCCGAUCGGUCUUUCGGGAUCAUAGGAGCUACUCAAAUGAUGAACUUGCCUGUUAUUUAUUCCAACAGCCUGGCGAGGACAGAUUGCGCGUUCUGACAACU